rnacentral:lncRNA from 1 species
UCAUAAAGCAGAAGUUAAGAUACGUACAUUGAGAAAACGCAUAGGAACAGCUUAGCAAUGGCCGUGGCACAAGGACUUCUUCAAUAGAGAGUGCUUGUUCUCUACUUCCUAUUCUAUUAUCAUUGGUUUUACAGAGAAAUAAGCUGGAACCCAGAAUUGCCUGGAGCCAAAUAUGGAGAUGUGCGUCUGCAGCCCCCCAGCAGACCACCUGCACCAUUAAUGAACGAUACCACUGCCUGUGGCCCAGGAAACGGAACACUGCAUUCUCCGUGGACAGAGUUAAGGACCAGAAUUACCCUCACAUGAAAAAGAGACCAGAGAAGUUAUACAUCUGCCAAGAGCCAAAGUGGAUUUUUGUUGUUAGCAACCAAAGAAUCUUAACAAGAAUCUUAAUGGAUAUACCUAUCAAAAUGGACAGGUGUUAAAGAAAAAAGAACAUUUUCCCCCACAAGAGUCCUUUUCAUGCAUUCCCCAAAUUAAAUGCAAUGGCAAAG